rnacentral:ncRNA from 1 species
UCCAAGAUCAUCGUCGGCCUCGAUCUGGAAUAUAAUCCAGUCGUGUCGGCGCUCGUGGCUCGGGUGGAUCCUGUAACGGUUCAGGAGCUCUAUAGUCAGCUUGUGAGUU